AUGAGGGCAAAGUUGUUGGGAACUUUAUCAUUCAAGAUGCCACCCAACAUCUGCACACCCUCCAGCUGCAGCAAGAAGCCACUAAUCUGUUCCUUCAAAAGCAAAGCCUGUAGUCUGAAUCCCAACAAUAGAUUGCUCAUAGGCAAGGAAGGGGAUCAGCGAAGUUGUCUUCCAAACCAAAGGCAAACACAAGUGAAGGGCGGUCCGGCCAGCUCCUCCUUGCUUUCCUUUUUCUGGGAAUCCGGAUUGCCUCUCCUGGUCCCCCAAAGAGGGGACCGCAAUGGUGCCCUGGGUCCACAGCAGAAACCCGAGUCAGUGCGUGUGCAAGGGAGGACCAAGCUUCGGGCGACCCCGGGGACGCGCUCUCGGGAGCUGCUUUCUGUUAAAUGCCAUCAGAGGCAGCCCGGGCCGCGUCACUUGGGGCCGAGCGGCAUUGACCGCCCUUCACUGACAGGGUAUUCCAAGCAGACGCCGGAGGGAAAGGAUGAGCCAGCCGGGCACUCGAGGCCGGGGGCAGCGGCGGGCGGCGCGAUGCGGCUCCCGAGCCCCGAGCCCGAGCCCCGGGAGGCCGGGCCGGCCCGCCACCCUGCGGCGGCCGAGGGCAGAGGGUCAGCUGCGGAAGGACCGCCCGCCGCGAUGCCCCCUCGGAGCACCGGCCGCGGCUGCGGACGCCCCUUCAGCCCGAGCCCGUCCCGCCGCCGCGGCUCGCCCGCCCCGCCGCGGCUCGCCCGCCCCACCGCCGCCGCCGCGCCGCCGCCGCCGCCCCCGGGAGGAUGGGAAGACGACGAGGCAGAGCGGCGACGGCGGCCGCGGGACCCGACCCCGGGCGGCCAUCGCCGACCCCCGCCCGCGCGCCAGGCCGCCCGCGUCAGCUCCUCACCUCAUCUCCGGGCGGGUGCGCGCGGCCGCCGCUCGCUCGCUCGCUCGCUGGCUCGCACAAAUCAGUGCAGCCCGCACGCCGCGCGGAGGGACGCAGGGUCCGCAGCCGCGCACACCAUCCCCGCCCGCUCCCGGCCGUCCCGGAGCCCGCUCGGGAUGCUCCCUUGCGAGCCGCCGUACUACGGAGCAACCAAGCUGCGCGCCCUCCCCGCGCCGCUCCAGCCCUCUCGCCCUGCUGCGCUCCUAGGCUCCCUCGCUCCCGCCUAUCUCCUCAUCUCCCUCCGCCGCCCCCGCCCCCCGCCCCCGCCCACAGCCAGCCCGCCGCCCCGCCCACUGUGGGCGGGCACAACCGCCUGCCAAUCGGCCUCGGAGGCCACGCCCCUCGCCGGCCUCUACACGUGA
rnacentral:lncRNA from 1 species